rnacentral:rRNA from 1 species
GACGAACGCUGGCGGCGUGCUUAACACAUGCAAGUCGAACGAAGAGCGAUGGAAGCUUGCUUCUAUCAAUCUUAGUGGCGAACGGGUGAGUAACGCGUAAUCAACCUGCCCUUCAGAGGGGGACAACAGUUGGAAACGACUGCUAAUACCGCAUACGAUCUAAUCUCGGCAUCGAGGAUAGAUGAAAGGUGGCCUCUUCAUGUAAGCUAUCACUGAAGGAGGGGAUUGCGUCUGAUUAGCUAGUUGGAGGGGUAACGGCCCACCAAGGCGAUGAUCAGUAGCCGGUCUGAGAGGAUGAACGGCCACAUUGGGACUGAGACACGGCCCAGACUCCUACGGGAGGCAGCAGUGGGGAAUCUUCCGCAAUGGACGAAAGUCUGACGGAGCAACGCCGCGUGAGUGAUGACGGCCUUCGGGUUGUAAAGCUCUGUUAAUCGGGACGAAAGGCCUUCUUGCGAAUAGUGAGAAGGAUUGACGGUACCGGAAUAGAAAGCCACGGCUAACUACGUG